rnacentral:lncRNA from 1 species
CUAUCUCUAUAGAUUUUUAUCCCAAGGAUGUAGGAUGCUUCUCCUAAAUCCUUCAUGAAGAACUGAGACGAUAGCCAAACCUAUAUUCUUUAUAAUGCAGGAACAUCAUUCUUGAUUAAAAGAAUGUCAUCCAGAUAUAAAAUAAGAAAUACAACUACAGAAUAAUUUAUCCACUUGUAAAUGUACAGUUCUUCUCAAUUUUUAACGAAGCCAUUGAAGGAACCA